rnacentral:rRNA from 1 species
UACGGGGGGAGCAAGCGUUGUUCGGAUUCAUUGGGCGUAAAGGGCGCGUAGGUGGCUUGGUUAGUCCGACGUGAAAUGUACCGGUUCAACCGGGGCACUGUGGCGGAAACUGCCGAGCUUGAGGCCGAGGGAGGAAGGUGGAAUUCCUGGUGUAGCGGUGAAAUGCGUAGAUAUCAGGAGGAACACCCGUGGCGAAGGCGACCUUCUAUCUCGGAUCUGACACUGAGGCGCGAAAGCCAGGGGAGCAAACGGGAUUAGAUACCCCGGUAGUCCUGGCCGUAAACGAUGGGCACUAGGUGUGGGAGGUAUCGACCCCUUCCGUGCCGCAGCUAACGCAUUAAGUGCCCCGCCUGGGGAGUACGGCCGCAAGGUUGAA